UCAAGUUUAUAAGGAAAGUCAAUAAUAUUCAGUAUGGGACGAUUACCCUUGGGACGAAUUGACAUAUCUACAUUAAAAUAGAUAAUAUUGGUUUCCUUCCCCAAUGCUUCAAAAUGACCCUGUCAACGGACGUUCACAGGCCUACCUAACUUCCGGAUAGACGCCAUGUUGGAGAAUACCGGUCAUGUUCAAAGACAUCGGAUGCAAAUUAUGCAUUUUGAAGCACAUGUUAUGCCUCUUCAUCGUUAUUCAAAUGAGCGACCAUAACCAGUUGUUUGUGUACUUCAACGCAUGAUGUAUCAUUGAAAACGUUCAAUGGAAAUACAGGGAAUCCAACACCCUAGCUGACUUUGCAAUUUUUCAUACAGACUAUGAAAACAGUAUUCUUUAAUUCUUUAAAACCUUGUAGUUUUGUUACAAAUUACUUUUCAUCCACUAUAUGCAUGAAUGAAAGAAGGUAAGAUAUCAAAGUUAUAAUCAAAUAGUUAUUAUUUUUUAACUGGUGAGAAAAGUUGUAUGUAAUAUU